GACGAACGCUGGCGGCGUGCUUAACACAUGCAAGUCGAACGGAAAGGCCCUGCUUGCCGGGUACUCGAGUGGCGAACGGGUGAGUAACACGUGGGUGAUCUGCCCUGCACUUCGGGAUAAGCCUGGGAAACUGGGUCUAAUACCGGAUAGUAGCCAUUUUUAGUGUGAUGGUUGGAAAGUUUUUUCGGUGUAGGAUGAGCUCGCGGCCUAUCAGCUUGUUGGUGGGGUAAUGGCCUACCAAGGCGGGGACGGGUAGCCGGCCUGAGGGGGUGGACGGCCACAUUGGGACUGAGAUACGGCCCAGACUCCUACGGGAGGCAGCAGUGGGGAAUAUUGCACAAUGGGCGCAAGCCUGAUGCAGCGACGCCGCGUGGGGGAUGACGGCCUUCGGGUUGUAAACUCCUUUCGCUAGGGACGAAGCUUUUUGUGACGGUACCUAGAUAAGAAGCACCGGCUAACUACGUG
rnacentral:rRNA from 1 species